rnacentral:rRNA from 1 species
GAUGAACGCUGGCGGCGUGCCUAAUACAUGCAAGUCGAGCGAACAGACGAGGAGCUUGCUCCUCUGACGUUAGCGGCGGACGGGUGAGUAACACGUGGAUAACCUACCUAUAAGACUGGGAUAACUUCGGGAAACCGGAGCUAAUACCGGAUAAUAUAUUGAACCGCAUGGUUCAAUAGUGAAAGACGGUUUUGCUGUCACUUAUAGAUGGAUCCGCGCCGCAUUAGCUAGUUGGCAAGGUAACGGCUUACCAAGGCAACGAUGCGUAGCCGACCUGAGAGGGUGAUCGGCCACACCGGAACUGAGACACGGUCCAGACUCCUACGGGAGGCAGCAGUAGGGAAUCUUCCGCAAUGGGCGAAAGCUUGACGGAGCAACGCCGCGUGAGUGAUGAAGGUCUUCGGAUCGUAAAACUCUGUUAUUAGGGAAGAACAAAUGUGUAAGUAACUAUGCACGUCUUGACGGUACCUAAUCAGAAAGCCACGGCUAACUACGUG